rnacentral:rRNA from 1 species
CCUACGGGAGGCAGCAGUGAGGAAUAUUGGUCAAUGGUCGGGAGACUGAACCAGCCAAGCCGCGUGAGGGAUGAAGGUACAGAGUAUCGUAAACCUCUUUUGUCAGGGAACAAAGGCGGGGACGUGUCCCCGGAUGAGUGUACCUGAAGAAAAAGCAUCGGCUAACUCCGUGCCAGUAGCCGCGGUAAUACGGAGGAUGCGAGCGUUAUCCGGAUUUAUGGGGUUUAAAGGGUGCGCAGGCGGUCUGUUAAGUCAGCGGUCAAAGCCCGGGGCUCAACCCCGGCCCGCCGUUGAAACUGGCAGUCUCGAGUUGGAGAGAAGUAUGCGGAAUGCGCGGUGUAGCGGUGAAAUGCAUAGAUAUCGCGCAGAACUCCGAUUGCGAAGGCAGCAUGCCGGCUCCACACUGACGCUGAGGCACGAAAGCGUGGGUAUCGAACAGGAUUAGAUACCCUUGUAGUC